GACGAACGCUGGCGGCGUGCUUAACACAUGCAAGUCGAACGAGAGGACAAGAGAAGCUUGCUUCUUUUGGAAUCGAGUGGCAAACGGGUGAGUAACACGUAAACAACCUGCCUUCAGGAUGGGGACAACAGACGGAAACGACUGCUAAUACCGAAUACGCUUGGGAGACCGCAUGAUCUUCCAAGGAAAGGGUGGCCUCUACUUGUAAGCUAUCGCCUGAAAGAGGGGUUUGCGUCUGAUUAGGCAGUUGGUGAGGUAACGGCCCACCAAACCUACGAUCAGUAGCCGGUCUGAGAGGAUGAACGGCCACACUGGAACUGAGACACGGUCCAGACUCCUACGGGAGGCAGCAGUGGGGAAUUUUGCACAAUGGGGGAAACCCUGAUGCAGCGACGCCGCGUGAGCGAAGAAGUAUUUCGGUAUGUAAAGCUCUAUCAGCAGGGAAGAAAAUGACGGUACCUGACUAAGAAGCCCCGGCUAACUACGUG
rnacentral:rRNA from 1 species